rnacentral:snRNA from 1 species
UGACAGAAGCAGUGGCAGUAUCAUAACCAAUGAAGUUAAUCUGAGAUGUGAUUAUUGCUAGUUGAAAACUUUUCCUACAGUAACAGC